UCAAUGUGAACAAUAUGGGCAGGAAAUAAUUAAUUAGACAAAAACAGAAUGGUUUAGCAGGGCUAUAGAUAACUUAUGGGGUAUAUUGGGUAAUUCACCCCCUGUUUUUGACAACAAUAGCGUUUUUGUAAAUUCAAUAGAGUUUUAGCAAAAAUGUUCACCCCCUACUUUUUUAAACUCAAUUGGGUAAUUUAAGGAAUGACAUAUAUAACAUAAUAUUAAGGUAACUAUAUUAUUUAUACAAAUGGAAUUCAAAAAGGUACCUGUACAUAAACAAUUACUGAAUUUCUUAUCAAAAUGUGCAUGCGUCAGAAAACUUCACAACAGAGCAGUUAUCAACCAGUAGGAUGACCUUCCUCUUCUGGAUCCGUAUAUCCUUGUUGAAGGCAGUCAGCAAUUGUGUGAAUAUGGCCCCCGUCAUCCACACAUUGGAGUUGCUGUCAUAUACGACAGGCAAGGAAGCAGUGUGGUUGUCUGCUUUUGCCGAUGACGAGUAGCUGCUGUUUGUCCGUACCCGCCAUGUUGCAGGCGACCAUGGCAGGUAUCCGGUCCUUCAUUUUUAUGCUCCCCCAAAAAGUUUGGGGGGGAGCAUAUAGUUGCCGCUUCGUCUGUCCGUCCGUCCAUUUGUCCGUGCGUCCGUCCGUGCACAAUUUUUAUCCGGGCUAUUUCUCAGCAACUAAUGACCGGAUUUCAAUGAAACUUUAUGGGAAGCUUCACUACCAAAAGGAGAUGUGCAUAUUAUCAGCGGGUUUUGGUCGGAUGAUUUUUUUACAGAGUUAUGGCCCUUUGAAAUUUUCCAUUAACUGUACAUUUAGUGCAAUUCUUGUCCGGGCUAUUUCUUAGCAACUAAUGACCGGAAUUCAAUGAAACUUUAUGGGAGGCUUCACUACCAAGAGGAGAUGUGCAUAUUAUCAGCGGGUUCUGGUCGGAUGAUUUUUCACAGAGUUAUGUCCCUUUGAAUUUUUCUAUUAACUGAGCAUAUAGUGCAAUUCAUGUCCGGGCUAUUUCUCAGCAACUAAUGACCGGAAUUCAAUGAAACUUUUAUGGGAAGCUUCACUACCAAGAGGAGAUGUGCAUAUUAUCAGCCCGUUUUGGUCGGAUGAUUUUUCACAGAGUUAUGGCCCUUUGAAAUUUUCCAUUAACUGUACAUAUAGUGCAAUUCUUGUCCUGGCUAUUUCUCAGCAACUAAUGACCGGAAUUCAAUGAAACUUUAUGGGAAGCUUCACUACCAAGAGGAGAUGUGCAUAUUAUCAGCGGGUUCUGGUCGAAUGAUUUUUCACAGAGUUAUGGCCCUUUGAAAUUUUAUAUAAAAAUAUUCUUGUCCCCCACAACUACUGUGCCCUCAAGACGUUUCCUUUUAUCUGAAUAUAUAUUGCAAUAUUUUGACAAAUAAAACCUUUGGGGAGCAUCACCUGUCUCCGAAGGUUUCUUGUUUUGCUUCCGGCCACCGCUUCUUCUUUUCUGACUAGCGUUACGUCUGGUAGAUCCCUGUAGUAGAUUCCCGUCUCGUCUGCGUUGUAGAUAUCUUCCUCCGCGUAGUUCUUCAGGUUGUCUGGUAGAACAUUUUUAAUGUAGUUUUCAGCUUGUGAUACAUCCACAUCUUUUUUCUGGCCGUGUGGUUUUUUGAAGACGAUGUUAUUUUGCGCUUUCCAUCUAGAUAACCACCUGGUAGAGGGCUUGAACUCGGGCUUGUCCAGCAUCUUUGCUAGGGCACAGGUUAAUUCUUCGAGAACAGGCACAGACACUGGGAUGUCUCUUGACCUGGCAGUUGUGAAUUGGGUUCAAAGCACUGCUUUCAUAUUAGCCGAUUUCCCAGAACGAUGACGUUUUCGUUCUGGAAUAGUGUUGGACUCAUAUUCCUCAAUUAUAAUGGCUCGAUUGGAGGAUAUACAAGA